rnacentral:rRNA from 1 species
ACUUUUUAAAUCUGCUGUCAAAUCCCAAGGCUCAACACUAGACAAGUGGUGGAAACUACCAAGCUGGAGUACAGUAGGGGAAAAGGGAAUUUCUAGUGGAGCGAUGAAAUGCUUAGAGAUUGGAAAGAACACGAGUUACUUCCAAAUAGUUAACGUACUUAUUUCAAUUGGACCUAA